GAUGAACGCUGGCGGCGUGCCUAGUACAUGCAAGUCGAGCGAACAGAUAAGGAGCUUGCUCCUUUGACGUUAGCGGCGGACGGGUGAGUAACACGUGGAUAACCUACCUAUAAGACUGGGAUAACUUCGGGAAACCGGAGCUAAUACCGGAUAACAUAUUGAACCGCAUGGUUCAAUAGUGAAAGGCGGCUUUGCUGUCACUUAUAGAUGGAUCCGCGCCGUAUUAGCUAGUUGGUAAGGUAACGGCUUACCAAGGCAACGAUACGUAGCCGACCUGAGAGGGUGAUCGGCCACACUGGAACUGAGACACGGUCCAGACUCCUACGGGAGGCAGCAGUAGGGAAUCUUCCGCAAUGGGCGAAAGCCUGACGGAGCAACGCCGCGUGAGUGAUGAAGGUCUUCGGAUCGUAAAACUCUGUUAUCAGGGAAGAACAAAUGUGUAAGUAACUGUGCACAUCUUGACGGUACCUGAUCAGAAAGCCACGGCUAACUACGUG
rnacentral:rRNA from 1 species